AAAAUUUUCACUCCUUAAAUGGGUGAGCCAGCCAUGGAGAAUCCACUCUUGUCUCCUUUUGUGACUGCAACCCCACCUCCGCCCCAUCCUGAGCGGAACUGCCUCUGCCUUGCUGUGGAUGUUUCAAGUGUCCCGUGUAUAUGCUGGUCUUCAGAGGUGUCCUUUCUCCAUUUUCCCAAGUGGCCUUGAGUGUCAGAGCAGACUUUGGAGGAGCGCUUUUCAUUACAGCUGAUACUGUUCAGACUUUGGCAACACUUACAGGUACUCAGGUUUUUCUAUGAAGAACUCUGUGGCAAAGGAGGAAUCCACAUCCUGGUGAGUUCAGGGAGAGAAAGGG